UUUUUUUUCUCAUCCCAAGUCCCAACUCACAUGAACAAACCGUAAAAUUCAGAAUCUACUCCUUCUACUUGUUCAUAUUCUCUGAGAAAUCAUCCUUCAGUUUCGAUUUUGAAUUGGGGUUUUAUCGAUUUGGCUCAACUCCAAGGAUUUGCAUCUCAGCAGUUGCAAAUGGUGAAAAUAAGGGGAUGAAGGACACGAG
rnacentral:lncRNA from 1 species